rnacentral:rRNA from 1 species
UACGGAGGGUGCGAGCGUUGUCCGGAAUCACUGGGCGUAAAGGGCGCGUAGGUGGCGCGAUGAGUCAACGGUGAAAGCUCGACGCUCAACGUCGAGUCGGCCGUCGAUACUGUCGCGCUCGAGCACUGUAGAGGCCAAUGGAAUUCCGGGUGUAGCGGUGGAAUGCGUAGAGAUCCGGAAGAACACCGGUGGCGAAGGCGGUUGGCUGGGCA